UCCUUCAUCCAUGAAGUAAUGUUGACAGAUUCUAUGUACCAGGAAGCAUAAUUGGGCAUGGAAUGUUGCAAUUACAUUUAAGAAGAAAAAGGGCAUUGAAAGAAUAUGUGAAGGACAGUGAAGAAGAUGAACUGAAGCAGUGAACUGAUCAGAACCUGCUGAAACCCACCUCUGAACUGAAGUGAAUACACUCUGAAGGUUUAUGGAAUUCCACAGAGACCAGACUAAGAAAGACCAAAGGAAGAAUAAUGAAGAGGCAUGGCAAAAAGAAGCAUUGUAUCCCUAAUACACCAAAUAAUUAGCAGGCAAAGCAGAUAAUAGCAAGACCUGGCAAUAAUUUAAAAGUAGAAAACUUGAAGAAAGAUGCAGAAUUCUGGCUGCACAAGACCAAGCCAUAAGAACAAAUGCAUACAAAGCCAGAACUGAGAAGACAACAAUGGACGGCAAAUGUUGCUUCUGCAAAGAAGCUGAAGAAAAACAGUUAACUGCUGUGAGAAGAAUGCACAGACAGAGUACAAACAACAGCAUGGCCAAGUAGCAACAACGUUGUAUUGGAAGAUCUGGCAAGAAAUACCAUUUGCCUGCAAGCAAGAACUGAUGGGAUAACAAAAUAGGCAAUGUAGAAAAUAGAAAAUGAAGAAGCUGAAGUGCUCUGUGACUUUAGAAUUAAAAUAGACAAGCUGCUUUCACAUAACACCCCACAGUUACCUCUUCAAAACAUAAUUGCUUUUUCCAGUGAAUUCUUCCGCAUGACAUGGCCAAAAUAAGUAAAACACAGUUUUGUGUGCAAAAUCA